rnacentral:rRNA from 1 species
ACGCUCGACACCUACGUGAGGCGGCAGUGGGGGAGUAUUGCACAAUGGGGGAAACCCGUGAUGCAGCAACGCCGCGUGAAGGAAGAAGGUCUUCGGAUUGUAAACUUCUGUCCUCAGGGAAGAUAAUGACGGUACCUGAGGAGGAAGCUCCGGCUAACUACGUGUCAGCAGCCGCGGUAAUCUGAGCGGGCUGGCAAGGC